rnacentral:rRNA from 1 species
CCUACGGGAGGCAGCAGUGGGGAAUAUUGCGCAAUGGGCGAAAGCCUGACGCAGCGACGCCGCGUGAGGGAUGAAGGUCUUCGGAUCGUAAACCUCUGUCAGCAGGGAAGAACGGUCACUGUGCUAAUCAGCAGUGAAUUGACGGUACCUGCAAAGGAAGCACCGGCUAACUCCGUGCCAGCAGCCGCGGUAAUACGGAGGGUGCGAGCGUUAAUCGGAAUUACUGGGCGUAAAGCGAUCGUAGGCGGUAUGUCAAGUCAAGGGUGAAAUCCCCGGGCUCAACGGGGGAACUGCCUUGGAAACUGGCAGACUGGAGUGUGUGAGAGGAUAGUGGAAUUCCAGGUGUAGGAGUGAAAUCCGUAGAUAUCUGGAGGAACAUCAGUGGCGAAGGCGACUAUCUGGCACAUAACUGACGCUGAGGAGCGAAAGCGUGGGUAGCAAACAGGAUUAGAUACCCCUGUAGUC